rnacentral:rRNA from 1 species
CCUACGGGAGGCAGCAGUAGGGAAUUUUCGUCAAUGGGCGCAAGCCUGAACGAGCAAUGCCGCGUGAACGAGGAAGGUCUUCGGAUCGUAAAGUUCUGUUGAAGGGGAAAAAGAGCGGAGAGAGGAAAUGGUCUCCGAUUGAUAUUACCCUUCGAGGAAGCCACGGCUAACUACAUGCCAGCAGCCGCGGUAAUACGUAGGUGGCGAGCGUUAUCCGGAAUGAUUGGGCGUAAAGGGUUCGUAGGCGGCCUGCUAAGUCGGAGGUGAAAGGUAGCGGUUCAACCGGGACAGGCUCUGGAAACUGGCGGGCUAGAGAGCAGGAGAGGGCGGUGGAACUCCAGGUGUAGCGGUAAAAUGCGUAGAUAUAUGGAAGAACACCAGUGGCGAAGGCGGCCGCCUGGCCUGUUACUGACGCUGAGGUACGAAAGCGUGGGGAGCAAAUAGGAUUAGAUACCCGGGUAGUC